GGGGGUUUAGUAUAAUGGCAUUAUAGCAGUCUCCAAAACUGAUGAUAAGGGUUCGAUUCCUUUAACCCCCG
rnacentral:tRNA from 1 species